AAUGUUAAAAAGGCUUUUGAGAUUGUUAUCCGAGAGAUUUAUAAUAAUGUGAGCCGGAAAGUCUUGAACUCGGAUACAUACAAGGCUGAAUUGUCAUUGAACAGGGUAACUCUUGUUAAUAAUGGGACUGACGGAUCAAAACAAUCUCAGAACUAUUUUUCAUCUUGUUGCUCCAGGUGACGUCCAUUCUUCUCAUCUCAAAAUGGCAUACAAGU
rnacentral:misc_RNA from 1 species